AGUGAACGCUGGCGGCGUGCCUAAUACAUGCAAGUCGAACGGAGUGGCGCACGGGUGAGUAAUUUAUAGCUAAUCUUCCCUCCACUAGAGGACAACAACUGGCAACGACUGCUAAUACUCUAUAGUGUAGGAUGAGGCUAUAUUGUAUCAGCUAGUUGGUGAGGUAAUGGCUCACUAAGGCUAUGACGCAUAACUGGUUGGAUAGGAUGAGCAGUCACACUGGAACGGAGACACGGUCCAGACGCCUACGGGAGGCAGCAGUAGGGAAUAUUGCUCAAUGGGGGAAACCCUGAAGCAGCAACGCCGCGUGGAGGAUGACACUUUUCGGAGCGUAAAAUACUUUUGUUAGGGAAGCGGUACCUAACGAAUAAGCACCGGCUAACUCCGUGCCAGCAGCCGCGGUAAUUC
rnacentral:rRNA from 1 species